AGAGUUUGAUCAUGGCUCAGAAUCAACGCUGGCGGCGCGCUUAACACAUGCAAGUCGCACGAGAAAGGGAGCAAUCCUAAGUAAAGUGGCGCACGGGUGAGUAACACGUGGAUCAUCUACCUCUUGGUGGGGAAUACCCCCGGGAAACUGGGGACAAUUCCGCAUAAGCCUGCGAAGGGAAAGCAGUAAUGCGCCGGGGA
rnacentral:rRNA from 1 species